UACGGGGGGGGGCAAGCGUUGUUCGGAAUUACUGGGCGUAAAGGGCUCGUAGGCGGCCAACUAAGUCGGACGUGAAAUCCCCAGGCUCAACCUGGGAACUGCGUCCGAUACUGGAUGGCUUGAAUUCGGGAGAGGGAUGCAGAAUUCCAGGUGUAGCGGUGAAAUGCGUAGAUAUCUGGAGGAAUACCGGUGGCGAAAGCGGCAUCCUGGACCGACAUUGACGCUGAGGAGCGAAAGCUAGGGGAGCAAACGGGG
rnacentral:rRNA from 1 species